AGAGGAUACUUUUCUCCCAAGAAGAUAAAAAAAAAGUACAUUCAUUUCCUAAACUUGUUCCCAGCAAGACAUUUUUCUUCUUUAGUGAUGCAAAAGUUCUUUUUAGAUAUUAAGCUAUUAUUCUCAGUUAAAAUAUCUUAUAUCCUAUGGUUAAUGACAUUACUAUCAACUUCCAGGCUACUAAAAGUAGGCACGCAUGCUUUUCAAUUACAAAUUCUUCAUGCAAAUCUCUCUAGUUAUACGACUUCAAGGAGUGUAAAAAUCCUUUGUUGGCCCAUUGUUGCCAACUUCCAGCAACCAUGCCUCAGGACCAAGACAAAGCAUAUAGAUGCUGCUAUUUCUGAACUGACUAAAGCAAUUCUCUAGUACAAUUAGAAAAUAAGGGAGUUUCUCCUCACUACAACCACUGAUUUUUAUCAUAUUCUCUAAUACUUCUCCAAACGCAUACUUAAUGUUCAUGCCUACUGCCAGGAACAUGUCCAUACUAUCAAUCUUUUGUUAGGCUCUUUGCCAUAGGAACAAACCAUGCUUAAGGGCCCUGAGCAAAUUCACUGCAGCUUCUGUGACUAAAAAUUAUGGUUGGUAAGGAAACGAUGAGUCAAUUGUGCAAAGAUAAAUUACAAAGGCAUUCAGCAUAGCUGACAUAUAAUGAGAUGUAAAUAAUCUUAAACAUGCCAAUUUAAUUUAUUAUAAGAAACAUACUCAUCUAUGUAACCAGAAUACUUGUUUCUACAUGAGGAGCAUAUUCUUUUCUUAUAGCCAAAUUAUAAUCAUGAAAAUUGCUUAAUCAGCACAGAAUCUGAACAAGUGGCAUAAUUAGAUAAAAUAAAUGCUCAGUAACAUCAAAGACUGGAGUUCCCGUUGUGAUGCAUCCUAAAAAGCAAAAGAAAAAAAAAAAUCAGGGAUAUACAUGAUGAAAAUUAUGAUUAUUAGUUAAAUUAUGAUUAUUAGGACAUAAAAAGACUUGACUAAAUGUCUCUAGAAGAAAUGUUACAAACGUGUUAAUUUUGACCAAGUGAAUUUACAAGUCCAAUAUUAUUACAAUAUCCCCAAGUUUUUAGAUGAAGAGAAUUAAACAAAGUAAUUCUUAAGUUUAAGUUAAUACUGAAUUGGAGAACAGUAGUUAAGACAAUAUUGAGAAAGAAUAAACAAGAAGUUUUACUAUGAACAAGGAAAGAACAGACCAUGGGUCAGCAAACUACAGCCAGUAGGUCAAAUCUGGCUGCAGCCAGAUUUUGCAUUCACUGUCUAUGGUUGACUCCCUGAGUCAAUAGUUGCAACAAAGAUUGUGUGGCUCACCAACCUAAUAUAUUUGCUAUCAGGAAUUUUACAGAAAACAUCUGCCAACCUUUGCAACACAUACUUUAAUUAAUUGUGCUGUCAUGUCCAUAGAUUUUUCUCUAAGGGAGCUCAUGAAGGCCAAGAGAAGGCAAAUUUACAAGGUAAUACAAUCCAUGGGUACCACAAGCAAGCAGAAGCUGGAAGGUAGAGAAAUAAAGGUUAGGGAAGCCAGUUAAUAGCAAAAGAAGCAUGAACAAUGGUAAGGAGAUUUAAAAAUACUGAUGCCCGGGCCACUUAAAUCACAAUAUCUCACCUGGUUUAUUUUUAAAGUUCCUCAGGUGAUUCUAAUGUUUAACUCUGAUAGAGAACCACUGAGUUAGAAAGAACAGCAAAUUCAGAGUGGCUGGGUGAUGUCAGUGAUGUAGCACAAGAGUAAUGAACCAAAAAUACCUGCUGUUAAGGUGCCCAGAGCUGCUAGAAUCCAAUUCCCGUACUCAAUACUGUUCCCACAUAUCAAUUCCCAUUAAAGCCCCAUCUUCCACAUUGUUCAACGUGUUUACAUACAAUAAACCCCUAUUAAUGAGGUAGGCUGAUUAACUUCUUUUCUUGAGACCAAAAGAGCCAACUUCAUAUAGAAAUUUCUAUCAGAAAUAUAGUUGCAUGAAAAAAACGCCCAGCAGAAAUGUAAAACACUUGGAAUUGAUAGGGUAUGACUAUAGAAUAAAAAAAUCAUACACAAUCUACCCCAUGUACCAGAGCGAAAUCUUUUUCAGAAGCCCAGUUUAUGUUGUAGCAAAGCCACUAAUUAUACAGCUGCCUUUGUGAUUCAUACCUGCACCCACUUAGGGUUAAGCACUGAGGCAAAUGGUAGUGACUGAUUACAGCAACUACAAAGAAAUAAGCCAAGCGGGGUUCAACAGUUGUUUCUCUUCUGACGAUGACAUGCAAAUUCUGAUAUAAUCACAAGGUAUCGACCCUGGAAAGCAUGACUUUGUCUCUGUUACAGCUAGAUAUGGUGCUGUUACCAUUCCAACAGGCAUGGAAUAACAUGGAUUAGACCAUAGGUUCCCAAGUUUGAGAACCAUUGGGCUAAAUGUGUCAGUUCAGGUUCCUACAAAUACAUAUUCACUCCCCUCUGAAGACCACCAUUCUAUCUAUUGUCACAGCUGUAGCACAGCCCUUAAUGACCAGCUUUUGUUUUACAUUAUCUAUUAUUACAUCCUCUCCACUGAGCACAGUUGAUGGGACAUACAUUGCCAGGAGCCUAUGACAUGUCUCAGCAUGAAAAAGCACUGCACAGAUAAACUAGGCCAAUUAAGAUUCUCAUUCUUUGGAAUUUGAGUAGAAACAAUGAAAACUAGGUCAUUAGCAGUGAAUGCUGAAGCUGAAAGCCUCGUCAAAGUAGGGCUUAGUGGCAAAUCCAGUCAUGAGGAAGAAAAAAUGAAGAUGGAAGAAUAGCUGAUCAAAUAGCUGGUCUCAUUCAAGUCAACAGAAAAGGUCUACAAAUCCCAAGUGAUUAAGAUUCCUAUGAAAUCCCUAUCUUCUUUACUCUGUCUUACUAUAUGAACCUAUAUGAUAAAUAUCCAUUUCUUUAGCUAACCCUGUGUCUUAUUUCUUGAAACCAGAAAUCCUAUGUAAUCAGAAAAUAGUGUAGAGUUGGGUUACAUAAACAGAACUUUGGUAGGACAUGGAAUAUUUAAACCUGUUUAUUACUUGGUGGUGGGACAGUAACAGACACACCCCACCACAACCCAGGCUAGAAUGUUAAGGGUCUACAGGAACUGUGGCAAAGUUACUAUUGCAAGACUACACAUCUCAUGAAGGUAAGUUUUGGUACAAUCACAACAGAGGAAAUUCAGUCACCAAGGAAGAUCAAAGAUAGGUGGAUGCUUCCAAAUUUGGCAGGCAAAUUUCUAAAGUGGCCUCAUGACAUCACUUCAGACUACAGUAUCUG
rnacentral:lncRNA from 1 species